AAUUUAUGGAAGGGAAGGUAUACCUAAAUGUAGUUAAGCACCAUCCCGUAGGCUGGGAUCUCAGGCUGAAAGGGCUCAUCGUUUAUCGUCUGCUUCCUCACUAUGUGUGACUAGCCACCUCAUGCUCCACUGCCAUGCCUUCCUGGUCAUAGUAGUGUAUCCCCUGAAACUAAACCAAAAUAAACUUUUCUUUUGUCAAAGUCAGUGUGAUGUAUAGAUUUAUUUCUAUCCCCUAUUUGUUCGUGGUCUCUGUAUUGAUUUUUUUAUAUAAGCCAGUAUAUUGCUAUUUUGGUUACCCUAGCUUUGUGCGUUUUGGUUUGAUUUGGUGUUUUUUGGUUUUUUGGUUUUUUUUUUUUUUUUUUUUUUUGAGACAGUGUUUCUCUUUAUAGACCAAGCUGGCCUUGAACUGAGGGAUCCUCCUAGUUGUUGUGCAUCUCCGUCACCUGACUUGUAGUUUGUCUUAUUAGACAAUGUGAUAUCUGUAGGUUUGAUCUUUCUGUUCAGGUUGCUUUGACAACUCAGGGUCUUCUGUGAUUCUGUGUGAAUUUAGAAUUGCUUUUUUUCUAUGAUGACUGCUUUUGAGAUUGCAAUGUUUCCAGUCAAUGAACUUAAGACAUUUUUCCAUGUUUGUAUAUAUUCUCUUUAGUUUCUUUCAUCUGUGUUUGUUUGUUUGUUUUUUUGUGCCCCCCACCAAGGGAUUGAACCCAAGGCUUUGUUGUACUAGGUUUUUUUUUUUAACUACCUUACCAUGUUUGUUAUUAAUGUAUAAAAAUGCUACUGAUUUUUUUUUAUUAAUGUAGAUUUUUGUGUCUGAUUUCUAUGUUUCUAUAUAUAAAAUUAUGAGCUAGCCAGUGGUGGCACAUGCCUUUAAUCCCAGCACUCAGGCAGAUCUCUCAGUUCGAGGCCAGUUUGGUCUACAGAGUGAGUUCCAGCAUAGCUAGGGAUACAGAGAGAGACCCUGUCUUGAAAAUAAAUAAAUAAACAAACGAACAAAAACCCAGUAGUAAUGAUUUAGAAAUAAAAUUAUGUUGAAACCAGCUGGAUGGCUCAGUGAGCAAAGACAUUUGCCAAAGCCUGAUGACCGUCUUGAUUUUGAUUUUUAGGAUCCACAUGGAAGAGAGAAAGGAUUUAAAUCAUAUCUGCAAACAGGGACAACUUUGAAUUUCCUCUUCUGUUUUAUAAGCUUUCUUUCUUCCACCUGUCUAGUUGCUCUGGAUAACAGUGUUGAGUAGGAAUGAACCAUAUGUGGUUGUUGUUUAGUUUUGAAUGGUUGGUUUUUACAGCACUGGAGAUUGAACACAUGCUAGGCUAAUAAUAGUCUGCCACUAAGCUAAAUCCACAACUUUUUAAAAUUUUUAUUUAUGUACCUAUCUCUGUGUAAAUAUGUGGUGUGUGUGUGUAUGUGUACGCGCACGCAGGUGUCCUGAGAGGCCACCUGGAGUUAGGCAGCUAUUAGCUAUGCAAUAUGGAUGGUAGGAAUUGUACAUGGGUCCUCUGGAAGAGUAGUAAACAUUCUUUAACCACUGAGCCAUCUUCCUUUAAAUAUUAUCUAUCUAUCUAUCUAUCUAUCUAUCUAUCUAUCUAUCUAUCUAUUUAAGCUAGGUGGUGGUGGCACAUGUCUUUAAUCCCAACAUUUAGAAGGCAGAGAUAGACAGGUGGAUCUCUUGAGUCUGAGGCCAACCUGGUCUCCAACGGCAGUCUAGCACUACAAGGGAAACCCUGUUUCAAAAUAAAACAGUGAAUGAAUGCAUGCAUGUAAAAUUGUUUGCUUUUUGUUUGCUUGUCUUGGGUGGGGAGUGCAGAUGAAAUGAUUCAUAAUGAUAUUCUGCUGUACUCAUAGAUUAGUGCCUUGUCCAGUCAUUAUCAGACAGAGCGAGUGCAGAGACCCACAUUAUGCAAUGAGAGAGUCUGGAUUGGAGGUCUCCAUUGGGUCCUUUCCUCAGAGAUGAAGCAUCCCUGAGGAAGAGAGGGAGUAAAGACUAGGAGUCAGAGGGGCUGGAAUACACCAAGAGAACAUGGUGGACUGAAUCAGCUAAGUAGAGCUCUCAUAGGCUCACAGACUGAAAUAGCAAGCACAGGGCCUGAAUGGGUCUGCACCAGGUUAUAGCUGUUAGCUUGGUUUCAGAGAUUACAGGCAGUCUCAGUUUGGUGCCUCAGAAAAAAUACUUUGAAGGUUACAAAUAAGGGGUUAUACUAAAAGAUGGGGGCUGGUGAGAUGGCUCAGCGGGUAAGAGCACAGACUGUUCUUCCGAAGGUCCUGAGUUCAAAUCUAGCAACCAUACGAUGCUCACAGCCAUCCGUAACAAAAUCUGAUGCCCUUUUCUGGAGUGUCUGAAGACAGCUAGUGUACUUAAUUACAUAUAAUAAAUAAAUAAAUCUUU
rnacentral:lncRNA from 1 species